rnacentral:rRNA from 1 species
AAUAGAUACCCCGGUAGUCCACGCCGUAAACGAUGAGUGCUAAGUGUUAGAGGGUUUCCGCCCUUUAGUGCUGCAGCUAACGCAUUAAGCACUCCGCCUGGGGAGUACGGCCGCAAGGCUGAAGCUCAAAGGAAUUGACGGGGGCCCGCACAAGCGGUGGAGCAUGUGGUUUAAUUCGAAGCAACGCGAAGAACCUUACCAGGUCUUGACAUCCUCUGACCUCCCUGGAGACAGGGCUUUCCCCUUCGGGGGACAGAGUGACAGGUGGUGCAUGGUUGUCGUCAGCUCGUGUCGUGAGAUGUUGGGUUAAGUCCCGCAACGAGCGCAACCCUUGACCUUAGUUGCCAGCAUUGAGUUUGGGCACUCUAAGGUGACUGGCUGGUGACAAACCGGAGGAAGGUGGGGAUGACGUCAAAGUCAUCAUGCCCCUUAUGACCUGGGCUACACACGCGCUACAAUGGAUGGUACAAAGGGCUGCGAGACCGCGAGGUUAAGCCAAUCCCAGAAAACCAUUCCCAGUUCGGAUUGCAGG